UGGGGAAUAUUGGACAAUGGGCGAAAGCCUGAUCCAGCCAUGCCGCGUGUGUGAAGAAGGUCUUCGGAUUGUAAAGCACUUUAAGUUGGGAGGAAGGGCAUUAACCUAAUACGUUAGUGUUUUGACGUUACCGACAGAAUAAGCACCGGCUAACUCUGUGCCAGCAGCCGCGGUAAUACAGAGGGUGCAAGCGUUAAUCGGAAUUACUGGGCGUAAAGCGCGCGUAGGUGGUUUGUUAAGUUGGAUGUGAAAUCCCCGGGCUCAACCUGGGAACUGCAUUCAAAACUGACUGACUAGAGUAUGGUAGAGGGUGGUGGAAUUUCCUGUGUAGCGGUGAAAUGCGUAGAUAUAGGAAGGAACACCAGUGGCGAAGGCGACCACCUGGACUGAUACUGACACUGAGGUGCGAAAGCGUGGGGAGCAAACA
rnacentral:rRNA from 1 species